rnacentral:misc_RNA from 1 species
AACGCAUAUUGCGCUCCUAGCCUCGGCAAAGAGCAUGUCUGCUUCAGCGUCGAUGUAACCCUCUUCACUACACUACAUUCAUUGUAUUGUGGUGACGGAUCUGGUCGUCUCGGGUGUUCCUUUGUCAAAGAAGAAAUGUCCGAGUCGAUUGAAGCUACGAGGCUAAUCAAGGACCCUCACGGGCCACCUCUAGGUAGGCAGCUUCAUCGCUCCAUAUUUAGAUGUUGGCUUGGUUCUUCAUUAUCAGCCCUCUUCCUCAAGGAACUAUCAAAAUUUACAUUUUCGACCUGAACUCAGGCAAGAACACCCGCUGAACUUAA